rnacentral:rRNA from 1 species
CGGAUGACGAGAAGCUUGCUUCUCUGAUUUAGCGGCGGACGGGUGAGUAACACGUGGGCAACCUGCCCUGUAGACUGGGAUAACUUCGGGAAACCGGAGCUAAUACCGGAUAAUUCUUUUAGCCUCAUGGCUUUAAGCUAAAAGGCGCUUCGGCGUCACUACAGGAUGGGCCCGCGGUGCAUUAGCUAGUUGGUGGGGUAACGGCCUACCAAGGCAACGAUGCAUAGCCGACCUGAGAGGGUGAUCGGCCACAUUGGGACUGAGACACGGCCCAAACUCCUACGGGAGGCAGCAGUAGGGAAUCUUCCACAAUGGACGAAAGUCUGAUGGAGCAACGCCGCGUGAGUGAUGAAGGUUUUCGGAUCGUAAAACUCUGUUGUAAGGGAAGAACAAGUGCGUUAGGUAAUGAACGCACCUUGACGGUACCUUAUUAGAAAGCCACGGCUAACUACGUGCCAGCAGCCGCGGUAAUACGUAGGUGGCAAGCGUUGUCCGGAUUUAUUGGGCGUAAAGCGCGCGCAGGUGGUUUCUUAAGUCUGAUGUGAAAGCCCACGGCUCAACCGUGGAGGGUCAUUGGAAACUGGGAGACUU